GUAGGUUCGGCUCGAUUCUCUCUUCCUUUGAUAUACGUAUAGACAGCGAACAGACGUGAGAGAGGGAGGAGGUCUUCAGAAGCCGCUGUGGUAAAGAACGGGAAUCUGUUCACAGCACAGGCCAGAUGAAUGGCCUAUUGGUCACUCUCCUACUUCUACUCGUAGCUACGUGUAUGUUUGCACCACUCUCAUCGGGUUUGAAAUAUUGUGGAAAACCCGGAGGUUCUGGAAUAGAUUCGACGGAUUGCUGGCAUGGCUCAUGUAACGAUAAGGGAGGCUGGGCGAUUGGCGAUCC